rnacentral:rRNA from 1 species
GCGCCGGCUAACUACGUGCCAGCAGCCGCGGUAAUACGUAGGGCGCAAGCGUUGUCCGGAAUUAUUGGGCGUAAAGAGCUUGUAGGUGGCUUGUCGCGUCUGCCGUGAAAAUCCAGGGCUUAACCCUGGACGUGCGGUGGGUACGGGCAGGCUAGAGUGUGGUAGGGGAGACUGGAACUCCUGGUGUAGCGGUGAAAUGCGCAGAUAUCAGGAAGAACACCGAUGGCGAAGGCAGGUCUCUGGGCCAUUACUGACACUGAGAAGCGAAAGCAUGGGUAGCGAACAGGAUUAGAUACCCUGGUAGUCCAUGCCGUAAACGUUGGGCACUAGGUGUGGGGGACAUUCCACGUUUUCCGCGCCGUAGCUAACGCAUUAAGUGCCCCGCCUGGGGAGUACGGCCGCA